UACGAAGGGGGCGAGCGUUGUUCGGAUUUACUGGGCGUAAAGGGCGCGUAGGCGGCGAUUGAAGUCAGGCGUGAAAGCCCCGGGCUCAACCUGGGAACAGCGCUUGGGACUCGAUUGCUGGAGUUCGGGAGAGGAGCGUGGAAUUCCCAGUGUAGAGGUGAAAUUCGUAGAUAUUGGGAAGAACAGCAGUGGCGAAGGCGGCGCUCUGGACCGAUACUGACGCUGAGGCGCGAAAGCGUGGGGAGCAAACAGG
rnacentral:rRNA from 1 species